rnacentral:rRNA from 1 species
AUUGAACGCUGGCGGCAGGCCUAACACAUGCAAGUCGAACGAGCGGCGGACGGGUGAGUAAUGUCUGGGAAACUGCCUGAUGGAGGGGGAUAACUACUGGAAACGGUAGCUAAUACCGCAUACCAUCAGAUGUGCCCAGAUGGGAUUAGCUAGUAGGUGGGGUAAGGGCUCACAUAGGCGACGAUCCCUAGCUGGUCUGCGAGGAUGACCAGCCACACGGGAACUGGGACACGGUCCAGACUCCUACGGGAGGCAGCAGGGGGGAAUAUUGCACAAUGGGGGCAAGCCUGAUGCAGCCAGGCCGCGUGUAUGAAGAAGGCCUUCGGGUUGUAAAGCACUUUCAGCGGGGAGGCGUUACCCGCAGAAGAAGCACCGGCUAACUCCGUGCCAGCAGCCGCGGUAAUAC